UCUUUCCCUUAGAGGGCGCCACAGGCAAACUCGGUCCCGUAUCGGAAUACCCUCGCGCAUUAUCAGUAUCUAACUAUCGAAGAAAACGUAAACAAACCGCUGUCAAUCUCUUUUUUAACAUGCCUGAAACUUGCUGUUGUGUACCAGAAUGCAGUAAUCGAGGUGGACAUGUGUUUCCCUCUGAUCAAUCAAGAAGAAAAAUUUGGAUCCAUGCAAUUAAAUGCGGCGAAACCCGUUUUCAAAGUUGGGAACCUAAGACACAUGCUGUUGUAUGCAGGGCACACUUUAAAGCUGAUGACUACGUAACUGAAACUCAACACGACACUGACACAUGCAUGCCAAUAUUUGACUCCCGCUGACAUUCCCGAUUACACUUGUGAUCCAGUAAACAAGAAGCAUGUCUGGCAGCUCUAUAAAACUUCUGGAACUACACCCCUGAGUAAAAGACUUAAGAAAAGUGCGGUCCCUAGUAUUUUUUCCUGGGUUGAGCCAAGUCCCC